AGGAUGCUAGAACCUUCUCAGAUGACCGCAGGAAACUUCACAGAGAGCAAGCGCCUUCUGGGCUGGUCGGUUCCAUGCGGAUCUGUCAAACACCGUGUCGCGGUAACCAAUUGCAACAAGCGAUGCUUGUCAUCAUGGGCAGUGGCGUGGUCAAGAUCAACAAUGGCUACGGUCCAUGCAGGUGCAGUUCGCUUGGUACACAACUGAUUGGCUGCAAACACCUGGUAAUAACUAAAACUAGAAACACAGCGCGGCGCUGCCGCGCCUUACCGAUCGGGCUAGUAGAAUUCGGUGUUUGCCUCUCGGAGGAAGUGCAACACAUGAAAGCUUGCAGCAUUGACAGUGAGGAAAUAUUAGUGCACGUACAAGCAUUGCAAUUGCUAAUAUGCAUAAACAGGAAUUCACAAUUUAAAACUUUUGUAUCAAAAUAUUAUUGACCCUACUGAUCUUGUUCAUAGACAUGUGCAUUACACCGAAUUGCAUUUGGCAAGACAAUGAUAAAAUUUUCAAGCGGACUGAUUUGGAUUA